rnacentral:rRNA from 1 species
UACGGAGGGGACUAGCGUUGUUCGGAAUUACUGGGCGUAAAGCGCACGUAGGCGGAUUUGUAAGUCAGGGGGUGAAAUCCCGGGGCUCAACCUCGGAACUGCCUUUGAUACUGCAAAUCUCGAGUCCGGAAGAGGUGAGUGGAAUUCCUAGUGUAGAGGUGAAAUUCGUAGAUAUUAGGAAGAACACCAGUGGCGAAGGCGGCUCACUGGUCCGGUACUGGACGCUGAGGUGCGAAAGCGUGGGGAGCAACAGGGAUUAAGAAACCCUUGUAC